GGUGGCUUCAGUCCCAGGACAUGGUCUUUAACAGGGGUCUUAGAGCUCCCCAGGGGACUUCAACCACUUCUCGUCCAUCCCUACUUGAACCUGCUGAAUGGCCUUGGAAGCUCGGUGAGGAGCUGGCAAUUCACUCCUCAACUACUUGUGUGGGAGUGUGGGGGAAACUCUCUAUGAGAAGAUCCACGCCGAAGAACAUCUCCAAACUCACUGAAGAACAGAGGGAGAAGAUGCAUUCUCCCCAAGGCCUCCUGCUGACACACCCACAAAUAGACUUUUGAGCUGUUGAAGCUGCCACAGAGAAGAUGGAAGUGUGAGCAGAAAGGAAACUAAAGAAUUAAAGAGCUCACUUCAGCAGUGAUCUUUGUCUCUCCACGGACCAAAUGUGUCCCUGCCUCCUUCCCAGAGCACCAGUCGCUUGCAUCUGCUGCCCGAGCUACCGUGCCUUUUACUCCAAGGACUGCCUUUCUACAGUUCUACAUCCAGAGUAACUGCUCAUCACUCAGUAUUCACUUUGUGUCUCCAAGUUUAGCAGGACUCUGGAAUCUUCUGGUUCAUUUCUAAGAAAUCACAAUGAUGCAUUUCACUUUAAAACAUUUCAAAGCCAUUGGAAAAGUAUGCAGUUGGUUAGUUCGACUUUUAUUUCACACUUGCCACCAGCCAUUGCUUCCCUUCACCCACUGGGCCAGUUUCCUAGGUGGCUUUAGACUCUAAGUCAUAUGGUAUCUCAGCGACUCCCCAAAAUUACCAAAAGGUUUUUCUCUGGAGGAGGUAUUGUUUGCGAUUUUACUGAGGAAUCUCCUAGUUUUCAACGA